rnacentral:rRNA from 1 species
UACGAAGGGGGCUAGCGUUGCUCGGAAUCACUGGGCGUAAAGCGCACGUAGGCGGACUCUUAAGUCGGUGGUGAAAUCCUGGAGCUCAACUCCAGAACUGCCUUCGAUACUGAGAGUCUCGAGUCCGAGAGAGGUGAGUGGAACUGCGAGUGUAGAGGUGAAAUUCGUAGAUAUUCGCAAGAACACCAGUGGCGAAGGCGGCUUACUGGUCCGGUAUUGACGCUGAGGUGCGAAAGCGUGGGGAGCAAACAGG